rnacentral:rRNA from 1 species
ACGGGAGGCAGCAGUGAGGAAUAUUGGUCAAUGGACGGAAGUCUGAACCAGCCAUGCCGCGUGAAGGAAGAAUGCCCUAUGGGUUGUAAACUUCUUUUAUCUGGGAGCAAUAAGCCUCUUGCGAGGGGUGAUGAGAGUACCAGAGGAAUAAGCAUCGGCUAACUCCGUGCCAGCAGCCGCGGUAAUACGGAGGAUGCAAGCGUUAUCCGGAUUUAUUGGGUUUAAAGGGUGCGCAGGCGGCACGUUAAGUCAGCGGUGAAAUGUCGGGGCUCAACCCGGGCACUGCCGUUGAAACUGGCGAGCUUGAGUACGGAUGAAGUCGGCGGAAUGUGAUGUGUAGCGGUGAAAUGCUUAGAUAUGUCACAGAACACCGAUUGCGAAGGCAGCUGACUAAUCCGCAACUGACGCUCAGGCACGAAAGCGUGGGGAUCGAACAGGAUUAGAUACCCUGGUA